CCCUUAGAUGUUCUGGGCUGCACGCGCGCUACACUGAUGCACUCAACGAGUUUACGACCUUGCCCGAUAGGGUUGGGUAAUCUUUUUAAAAUGCAUCGUGAUGGGGAUAGAUUAUUGCAAUUAUUAAUCUUCAACGAGGAAUUCCUAGUAAGCGCGAGUCAUCAGCUCGUGCUGAUUACGUCCCUGCCCUUUGUACACACCGCCCGUCGCACCUACCGAUUGAAUGUUUCGGUGAAGAUUCCGGAUAGGACUUUUUUGAUUUAUUUCAAUUUUGUCUUAAAAGCUAUCUAAACCUCAACAUUUAGAGGAAGGUGAAGUCGUAACA
rnacentral:rRNA from 1 species